AAAAUUUUCUCAUUUCCACAGCACAUAUACUAAAAAUAUACAGAGAAGACUAGCAAGUCCCCUGAGCAAGGAUAACAUGCAAAUUUGUGAAGUAUUCCACAUUUUA